rnacentral:lncRNA from 1 species
AAACGGGUCGUGCAAUCGAGUGAGUGAGUCCAGCUAGCAUUGGCGAGAAAAAGAGAAAUCACACAGAGCAGAACAUUUCGGAGGGCAUAGCCAAUAGUAAAGUUUUGCUGACUAGACCAUCACGGCGUCUCUCACAUCCAUUCCUCAUGCUUUCAUCCACCCA